AUUGAACGCUGGCGGCAUGCUUUACACAUGCAAGUCGGACGAGUGGCGAACGGGUGAGUAACGCAUCGGAACGUACCGAGUAAUGGGGGAUAACUGUCCGAAAGGACAGCUAAUACCGCAUAUUAUUCGAGCGGCCGAUGUCUGAUUAGCUGGUUGGCGGGGUAAAGGCCCACCAAGGCGACGAUCAGUAGCGGGUCUGAGAGGAUGAUCAGCCACACUGGGACUGAGACACGGCCCAGACUCCUACGGGAGGCAGCAGUGGGGAAUUUUGGAAAAUGGGCGCAAGCCUGAGCCAGCCAUGCCGCGUGGAUGAAGAAGGCCUUAGGGUUGUAAAGGACUUUUAGUAGGGAGGCGUUACCUGCAGAAGAAGCACCGGCUAACUACGUGCCAGCAGCCGCGGUAAUUC
rnacentral:rRNA from 1 species